GCGGGUGUAGUUCACUGGUAGAAUGACUCCCUUCCAAGGAGUAGAAGAGGGUUCGAUUCCCUUCACCCGCUCCA
rnacentral:tRNA from 2 species